rnacentral:misc_RNA from 1 species
AAAUGCGAUAAGUAAUGUGAAUUGCAGAAUUCAGUGAAUCAUCGAAUCUUUGAACGCACCUUGCGCUCCUUGGUAUUCCUUGGAGCAUGCCUGUUUGAGUAUCAUGAAAUCUUCAAAGUAAAUCUUUUGUUAACUCAAUUGGUUUCUACUUUGGUAUUGGAGGUCUUUGCAGCUUCACACCUGCUCCUCUUUGUUCAUUAGCUGGAUCUCAGUGUUAUGCUUGGUUCCACUCGGCGUGAUAAGUUAUCUAUCGCUGAGGACACUGUAAAAGGUGGCCAAGGUAAAUGCAGAUGAACCGCUUCUAAUAGACCAUUGACUUGGACAAUACUUUUAUGAUCUGAUCUCAAAUCAGGUAGGACUACCCGCUGAACUUAAGC